CUCAAUUGAACGCUGGCGGCAGGCCUAACACAUGCAAGUUGAGCGGAAACGAGUUAACUGAACCUUCGGGGAACGUUAACGGCGUCGAGCGGCGGACGGGUGAGUAAUGCCUGGGAAAUUGCCCUGUGUKGGGGAUAACCAUUGGAAACGAUGGCUAAUACCGCAUAAUAGCUUCGGCUCAAAGAGGGGGACCUUCGGGCCUCUYGCGUCAGGAUAUGCCCAGGUGGGAUUAGCUAGUUGGUGAGGUAAUGGCCACCAAGGCGACGAUCCCUAGCUGGUCUGAGAGGAUGAUCAGCCACACUGGAACUGAGACACGGUCCAGACUCCUACGGGAGGCAGCAGUGGGGAAUAUUGCACAAUGGGCGCAAGCUGYAUGCAGCAUGCCGCGUGUGUGAAGAAGGCCUUCGGGUUGUAAAGCACUUUCAGUCGUGAGGAAGGUGGUGUCGUUAAUAGCGGCAUCAUUUGACGUUAGCGACAGAAGAAGCACCGGCUAACUCCGUGCCAGCACCGCGGUAAUACGGAGGGUGCGAGCGUUAAUCGGAAUUACUKGGCGUAAAGCGCAUGCAGGUGGUUAGUUAAGUCAGAUGUGAAAGCCCGGUGCUCAACCUCGGAACUGCAUUUGAAACUUGCUGACAGAGUACUGUAGAGGGGGGUAGAAUUUCAGGUGUAGCGGUGAAAUGCGUAGAGAUCUGAAGAAUACCGU
rnacentral:rRNA from 1 species